rnacentral:rRNA from 1 species
GACGAACGCUGGCGGCGUGCUUAACACAUGCAAGUCGAACGGAAAGGCCCUGCUUUGGGGGGGUGCGCGAGUGGCGAACGGGUGAGUAACACGUGAGUAACCUGCUCUUGACUUUGGGAAAACUACAGGAAACUGGGGCAAAUACCGGAGAGGAGCUCCUGCUGCAGGGUGGGGGUGGGAAAGUUUCGGCGGUGGGGGAUGGACUCGCGGCUUAUCAGCUUGUUGGUGGGGUAGUGGCUUACCAAGGCUUUGCCGGGUAGCCGGCCUGAGAGGGUGACCGGCCACAUUGGGCCUGGGUUACGGCCCGGCCUCCUACGGGAGGCAGCAGUGGGGAAUAUUGCACAAUGGGCGGAGGCCUGUUGCAGCAACCCCGCGUGCGGGAUGACGGCCUUCGGGUUGUAAACCGCUUUCGCCUGUGACGAAGCGUGAGUGACGGUAAUGGGUAAAGAAGCACCGGCUAACUACGUG